rnacentral:lncRNA from 1 species
UGGGCUAUGAUGAUUGCUGCUGCUGGACUGUGUAUCUGAGCCCACAGUUAUUUAGUUUUGGGUCGGCUUACCCGACCUGACCCAAUACUGAAAUGUGUAUAUAGUGGAGGGGCACAUAUUUUGUAGAUACGGAUUUCAUUUUGCCUUCAUUUUGCUUAAUAAAAUUCUCUCUUUUCUGGAGAGUUCCCUCAACUGCUCCUUCCUCUCUCUUAUUUCUCUCACUAUAUUCUCCAUGUUCUUUAGCUUCAUCUUCAGGUUUUUAAUGCUCUCUGCUCAGAAGAAUUAAACAACAGGUACCUGAUUUUCCCUAUUCAUAUUUUCCAAAUCUGACUGUCAAGUUAAUAGCUAUUUCAUAUUUAAUACAACUAAUGUAGCUCAUUUCAUAUAGUUAGCAGAAUCUGGGAAGCCAUUCAAAUUUCCAUUCAAGAAGAAAUUUACGUACCUGAUAGCCACUGCUGCGUCCAAGUAGUAUCAUAGCUUAGCUGCUCACGGUGUAACUGUCAAUUUAUAAGAUAGCUGCCUCAAUGAUUUCUUCAUAUACUAUAUUGUGUGUUGUAUAAUCGUCGUUGCUAUCAAUUGUUUGCUGUUGGAUAAAGAUUUUUACAGAA